AGAGCAUCCACGACCGGCCGGCUGGUUCGCCAUACUAUGUACUGUUAAAACAGUACCUGAGAGCAUUUUAUUUCACUCUCAAACUCUCAUUUCUCACUCCACAAGCACCAGUCUGCCGCUAAACUUCAAUCUAACUUUCUUCCGGCUAUUUCCUUGCAUACUUCACUUCCAGUUAGUGCAUUCUCUGUUAUUUCUCUGCUUUAGAUAACUUUGUGGAGGUUUUCUAACCUAGGUUACAUUCUCUGCAUCAUGUAUUCCUUUAUGCAAUUUCCUGCCUUUUCCUUGGAAUCUUCUUAUCACACAUCAUUGUUUUUACUUGCUUGUAUGUAUUUACCAUGUAGGACACAUGACUAUUGAUAGGGUUACUCGUAGCAAAGUGGCUACAAUCCCAUUGGGCAAAUGGCUAUGGAUGAAACCUAUGAUACGAUUUGGUUUCGAACUCCCAUCGACCAAGCUAACUGGGUCCACUUCAUGUCCCGGCCUCUAAUCGUUGAACGCCCUAUUAUCACACUUCACCUUCAAGCUUUCAAAGUAAAGGAAAGGUUCAAGGCCUUGGGUUGGGAGGCUAUCUUGAAAGUGGAAGAAGAUGUGCAUCCCAGGCUAGUUCGGGCCUUUAUUGCAAUCUGACCGGCAAACACUUGCAAGAUGGGGAGUACAAAAUCACUAGUCAUGUAGGUGGUAGGGACAUCUCCCUUACUACAGCUGAGUUUGGGUGUAUCGUUGGGAUAUCCAGUGAGGAAACAAAACUUAUUGCCCUCCCAGGACUACUUCCUAUGGGUUCCUCAAGACCACAGAGUUAAAUUUACUAAAGGCUGUAGUUACUGAGGGUGGUGAGGCCAACUGGGCCCGGAUAGCAAAUUGGAAACCUUCUCCAAAGGUACUGUGUAGGAUUGUCCAAUACAACAUUCUUCUCGUUCAUGGUCAUUUCAAUGAAAUCUCUCUGAUGCAAGCUUACACAACUUUGUGCCUUUACUUGGGAGAGCAGAUUAGCUUACUCUACUUGAUCUUGAGGCAUAUGGUGCACCAAGCUUAUCAUCCUGCUGAGGUUAAUCUGUUCUAUGGUAAACUUCUGACCAAGGUAUUCAAGCACAUGGGACUUUGUUUAGUGGGUGAAGAGAAAAGAGAUUCUCAUGCCAUCCCUUUUGAUAGGGUCAUUUUGGAGAAGAUGCAACUCCAUGAGUAUGCAAGCAAUGAUGUGGAUGUGGCACCUAUAGUUGAGGAGGAGUCAGAGGACCAUGAGGAUGAUGAGCUGCACAGGAGGGAGGACGAGCAACAUGAAGACGAAGUACAACAUAGAGAUGAGGAAAUACACAUGGAGGAGGUCCAUGAAGAGUAGGAGAGAGUGAUACCACAGAGAGAUGAGGGAGAGGUACCACACAGGGAUGAGGAGCAGUAAGAGGAUCCCCUAAGAAACUUCCAUAUCAGUGAUGUGGACAUGGGUCUCAAUGGGUUCACUCCGGCUGAUUUUGAGAGCCUAGAGGCACAACUUCCCUGUGUUCCAGAGGAGAGCAUUCAUGGAAAACUGAGGGUAUUCCUCAGACUUCACAAACUCAUAUUCCUCAGCUUCCCUUUGUGCCGGCACCAGAGUCUACCCAGCCCACUACUCAGACAAGAGUGACGUGCACGUGCCCUGAAGUCAGAAUUGAGUUGAUCGACCGAUGGCCGUACUUAAACCUUAACACACACGAGGAUAAAUAAGAUGAUGAUGUAGGUACUGUGGUGUCGAUGGGGUGUGACCCAGUAUCCUUAAGGUCAGAGUACGGUGUGAGUGACUGGUGGAUACCAGAAGUGGAGGAGCACGAUCAGGACUAUGCUUACAAUCACUAUGCUUAUGUUGCACCGUGAGUAGUGUAGCAUAUUUUUUAUCCUUUUGAUAUAGA